GUGCCAGCCGCCGCGUAAUUCCAGCUCCAAUAGCGUAUAUUAAAGUUGUUGUGGUUAAAAAGCUCGUAGUUGAACCUUGGGCCUGGCUGGCCGGUCCGCCUCACCGCGUGCACUGGUCCGGCCGGGCCUUUCCCUCUGUGGAACCCCAUACCCUUCACUGGGCGUGGCGGGGAAACAGGACAUUUACUUUGAAAAAAUUAGAGUGCUCCAGGCAGGCCUAUGCUCGAAUACAUUAGCAUGGAAUAAUAAAAUAGGACGCGCGGUUCUAUUUUGUUGGUUUAUAGGACCGCCGUAAUGAUUAAUAGGGACAGUCGGGGGCAUCAGUAUUCAACUGUCAGAGGUGAAAUUCUUGGAUCAGUUGAAGACUAGCUACUGCGAAAGCAUUUGCCAAGGAUGUUUUCAUUAAUCAGGAACGAAAGUUAGGGGAUCGAAGACGAUCAGAUACCGUCGUAGUCUUAACCAUAAACUAUGCCGACUAGGGAUCGGACGGUGUUAUUCAUGACCCGUUCGGCACCUUACGAGAAAUCAAAGUGCUUGGGCUCCAGGGGGAGUAUGGUCGCAAGGCUGAAACUUAAAGAAAUUGACGGAAGGGCACCACCAGGGGUGGAGCCUGCGGCUUAAUUUGACUCAACACGGGGAAACUCACCAGGUCCAGACACAAUAAGGAUUGACAGAUUGAGAGCUCUUUCUUGAUUUUGUGGGUGGUGGUGCAUGGCCGUUCUUAGUUGGUGGGGUGACUUGUCUGCUUAAUUGCGAUAACGAACGAGACCUUAACCUGCUAAAUAGCCCGCAUUGCUCCGGCAGUGCGCUGGCUUCUUAGGAGGGACUUUCCGGCUCAAGCCGAAGGAAGUUU
rnacentral:rRNA from 1 species